CACAUUCUUUCAUUAGCUUUAUAAAUUUAUCCAAGACCUCAUCAUUUCUAUUUAAUUUAAUUAUUUUACUUUUUACUUACAACAUUUUUAUUGUAAAAGUAAACGAAGUAAAUACUGACAGACAAAAAUUUUUAAAAAUACAUGUGAAGAUUUUUUAUAGAUAAGAUGUCGGCUACUUUCAGCGUCAUAUAUUUACGGGUAAAUAUUUACGGCAAAUUUGGAGGCAUUUUGAAACGAAGGUAUGCGAUGCACGAUUCAAUCGAAACAUUAAAAGGUUUGUUUGGUGAUACAGAGGCAGACGAU